UCUUCUUUUUUAUUUUUAUUUUUAUUUUCUUUCUCCCGCCAAUUCCUGUUUAGCAGAAGAGAUUUGCGAAUUCAUGGACUUUAUGGAUUCCGAAGAAGCUCCUCCCCCCCCCCCCCCCCCAAAUUAGAAGUCUAAGGCACAAAUGCUCAGCUUGCUAUAAGCAGUACAAAAAGGAGGAGCAUCUCAUUGAGCAUAUGAAAGUGUCAUACCACUCAGUUCAUCAGCCCAAAUGCGGGGUUUGUGGAAAGCAUUGCAAAUCAUUAGAAUCAUUGAGGGAGCAUCUCACUGGUCCAUUGCCCAAAGCCAAUUGUUCAAGUGUUUUUGAUGCCCAAGGUGGAGAU